UACGAAGGGGGCGAGCGUUGUUCGGAUUUACUGGGCGUAAAGGGCGCGCAGGCGGCGAUUUUUGUCAGGCGUGAAAGCCCCGGGCUCAACCUGGGAACUGCGCUUGAAACGGGAUUGCUAGAGAUCGGGAGAGGAGAGUGGAAUUCCCAGUGUAGAGGUGAAAUUCGUAGAUAUUGGGAAGAACACCGGUGGCGAAGGCGGCUCUCUGGACCGAUACUGACGCUGAGGCGCGAAAGCGUGGGGAGCGAACAGG
rnacentral:rRNA from 1 species